rnacentral:lncRNA from 1 species
CUGAAUAUUAUGAUAUAUUAAAUAAAUCAAAGGGACUUGAUCACUUUUCCCAAAAUACACGUAAAGCAUGAAUCCUCAUACUGGUAAGAAAAAACAGGGAGGUUUACUGUGGAGACUGAGCAAAAAUUCCACGUAAAGCAUGAAUCCUCAUACUGGUAAGAAAAAACAGAGAGGUUUACUGUGGAGACUGAGCAACCGAUAAAGCAACAGACAUAAAUUUAACGUACUCGUCAACAACUUCAUUUAGGGACAAAAUCUUUAUCCCAAAUUGUUCCAAUGCAUCAGAACAAUCCAUAUGUAAAGCACCUAAAUAUGAGAUCAUCGAUCCAGAAUCGUUUUUAUUGAGUGAUUUCAUAGCUUCUUCGAGAUCGCUUACUGCACUAUCCAUUGACUCUUUACAAGUACUCAGAAUUGAAUCUUUUGUUUGUGGUUCAACACCUGUGAUUUUUGGAAGAAAAUCGUUGGUCGCAUUUUGGAUCCUAUAUGCCAUUUCUGUACAUGCAUUUAUACUUUUGACCAUUGCUUCAUUCCAAUUUGUUGCUCCGUUUACAACCCUAUUGCACAAAUUUGGUAUGGUGCACGUCUUGCAAUAUGGGCUCAUUGGAAUUACUUGAGCCUCACUGCUCUUUAUGAGGACAUAAAACGUAGCCACGAUUAAUAAUAAACAAUAAUUCAUCUUUCUUGAAUUCAUAGUUUUCAUCUUUUAUCCCUUAUUAUAUAGGCUCAGAGAAUUGUUCUGUUUCCCUCCUUUUUUUCUCGGGGCCUAUUGGAAUUGGGAUGUAAACAGAAGAAAUAAUUUUAAUGUUUUAAAAGGGUAGGUUGUAUUUAUGAGAAAGGUUCGAAUUGUAAAUGCCACUAAAAUCUAGAGGUUCUGCGCAUUCAUAGAAAUUAUAUUUUGAUUGUGCAGUUAAUGUUUCUCUAGAAAAAAAAUUCCAUUGUGAGAAAAAUGAGGUGUGCCCUCUAUUCUUUCUUUGUUUGACGGGGCAUAUCAAUUACAUAACAUGGAUUCUGGUUGUUUUUUAAAAAAAACAUUAGACGAACCUCUUCUAUUUUCCCUUUUAAUUUCUUUUUGUUAUUUUUUUUAAAACUAGAAAGUUGUUGUUGGAUUAAAGAUUUUUUGGUUAUGUUGAUUUUCGUGUUAUUUCUUCGAAUGUUGAAUGUUAGAUAAACCCUCACAUAAUCAAUGUCAGUUGUGUAAGACACAAACUAAAUUUAAAAUUUUUCUUUUUGCCUUUUUAAUAGAAAUGGAGCAAACAUAUGCAGGCAUGAUAUAGGUUAUCUUCGAUAAAACAGAUCUCCAUAGAUUUGUGAGUUGUAUAUAUAUUGUUGAAAAUUUUAUUUUGUGUUUACACAACUGACUCUAGUUGUGUGCGAUAUCUUUUUUGUCUCAUAACUGUGCGGUCCCAGAAUUUUUUCCACCCCAAUAUGUAAGAUAUAAUUCUAUAAAUAUGUAAGAUAAAAAGAGGCAUCACACAACUAAUGUUAGUUGCGUGAGGCAAGCCAUAAAAUUACAUAAGAAGGAUUGAAUUAGAAGCACAUCGAAAAGAUGUAGGUUCAGACGGGUGUGUGAAAAUCCGUACUAUCUUAACUUGCAAAAACUGAACUUGCUUCAAAUCUAUAUUAAAUGGUAGAUAGAUUUAAUAGUCAAGUUAAAAUAUUUGUAAUUGAUGCGAGCCAAGAAAAACGUAGAACAAUCAAGUUUACAUGAUGCUCUAGACUGCAUUGUCCAAAUAUUCAUUAAUAACUUUGUGUAGAAGAGUCAAAAUAACAAAUUCUGAUUGAACAUAUAGAAAUCAGAUUUCGAGAUCUACAAUAUUGGUAUAGAGAGUAUAAAACAAAUUUCUCAUAGAGCUUAGUAGCCCUAUCAUUGAUGCUCCAGGGCUGGGGUGGAUCUAGCGUAGUGGUGCCGGGUUCAAUUGCGCAUUAUUUUCGACGUGAAACAUAAUUAUAUAUAAAAAUUAUUUAAAAUAGGAAUAAAUAGUAGAUAUAAAUACAUAACUUUAGCAAUAUAAUUAGUUUAAUACUAAGACUUUUAGAGGUUGAGCUCAUAAAGUUCAAAUUUCGUAUCCGCCGCUGCUUCAGGCUACCACAUAUAUGUGAAAUAAAUCCAACUCUUCAAAAGUAAUUGUCUCUACACCAUCCAAAUUAAACUAUCCAGGAUCGUAUCAUUUCUAGUCCUUUCAUUAUGUGUUUAGACGUGCAAAAACACGAAAUUUAAACAACUAAGCACUAUAGAAAAAGGAAAAAAAUACAUCAAAAAAAAUAUAUGAAAACAGUAUAUAUUUAUGAAUUAAUUGCAAUCCUGCCUGAAUAUCAUGAUAUAUUAAAUAAAUCAAAGGGACUUGAUCACUUUUCUUAAAAUACAUGAAUCCUCAUACUGGUAAAGAAAGAAUAGAAGAGGUUUACUAUGGGGACUGAGCAACCAAUAAAGCAACAUACAUAAAUUUAACGUAGCGGCCAACAAAUUUAUUUAGGGGAAAAAACAUGAUCCCAAAUUAUUCCAUUGCAUCAGAACAAUCCAAAUGUAAAGCACCUAAAUUUGAUAUCAUCGAUCCAAAAUCAUUUUUAUUGAGUGAUCUCAUAGCUUCUUCUGGUCGCUCGCUGCAGUAUCCAUUGACUCUUUACAAGUACUCUGAAUUGAAUCUUUUGUUUGUGGUUCAACACAUGUGAUUCUCGAAAGAAUGUCGUUGGUCACGUUUUGGAUCCUAUAUGCCAUUUCUGUACAUGCGUUUAUGCUUUUGACCGUUGCUUCAUUCCAAUUUGUUGCUCCAUUCACAAUCUUAUUGCACAAAUUUGUAUAGUGCACGUCUUGCAAUAUGGGCUCAUUGGAAUUACUUGAGCCUCAUUGCUCUUUAUGAGGAUAUAAAAUGUAGCCACGAUAAAUAAUAAACAAUAAUUCAUCUUUCUUGAAUUCAUAGUUUUCAUAUUUUAUCCCUUAUUAUAUUUGCUCGGAGAAUUGUUCUGUUUCCUUCGUUUUUUUCUUGGGGCCUAUUGGAAUUGGGAUGUAAAUAGAAGAAAUAAUUCCAAUGUAUUGAAAAGUAGUUUGUAUCUAUGAGAAAGGUUCGAAUUGUAAGUGCCACUAAAAUCUAGAGGUUCUGCGUUUUCAUAGAAAUUAUUUUUUGAUUUUGUAGUUAAUAUUUCUCUAGAAAAAAAAUUCCAUUGCGAGAAAAAGACGCCGUUUUGCUUAAACUAAUCCUAGCCAUCUAGGAUUCAAGAUCUAACGACUCAGAACCCCUACACCUCAUCUCUAUCACCUCUCACAAGACAAACUUGACCCUGCCACCCACAGCCAUGAACUGCCGGUCGAAAACUGCCUCUGCCGGCGGUGCUCAUCCAAUGACCUCCUUUUUUACACAAUAGUCUCGCCUUGAUCCCCUCAUACCCAUACCACCAUUCAUCUCCCUCAAAUAUCACCAGAAAACGUCAAAUAUCCAAAAUCCUAGUGUGCCGCCAUUGGUUCCUCCGAGCGAUGUUGCCUCCAAAUGUUGCCCUAACAACCGAUGGCAAUCAACAUGUACUGAGCUUCGUCUCAUGCAUACGAAACCUUGUGGCUCUACUUACACGAUGUUCCGUUGUUCAUUGUCAAAAUCCAUGAGCUGCCAUGAGUGGGGCCAAUCAGGACGUCACAGGACAUAGCCAUGGCACGUAUCGGGAUUUUGUAAGACAUGGAUACAGUACGUAUUAGGACGUCGGAGGACAUGUCCAUGGCACGUGUCAGGACGUUCAUUGUCAAAAGCCAUCAGCUGCAACGAGCUGUACCAGACACAACCCAUAACAACCGAUAGCAAUCGACAACCUACUGAGCUUCGCCCCAUGUGCAUGGCACCUUAGACACUACUUGCACGACGCUUUUCCAUUCCGCUGCCAAAAGCCAUCAGCCGCCGCGAGCGAUGUCGCCUCCCGAUGUUUCCCACGACAACCAAUGACAAUCUAUAUGUAUUGAGCUUCACCCCAUGCGCACGACACCUUGCGAGGCUACUUGCAUGAUGCUCUGAUGUUCACCUGCCAAGAGCGGUGCCAGACACAACCCACAACAACCAAUGGCAAUCGGCAACUUACUAAGCUUCACCCCAUGUGUAUGACACCUUGUGACGCUACUUUCACGAUGCUCCGCCAUUCUAUUGCCAAAAGCCAUCAACCGCCAUGAGCGUUGUCUCCUCACGAUAUUGCCCGCAAUAACCGAUGCACGUCUUGUCAUGUCCUGACCCAUGCCAUGACCAUGUCCUACGAUGUCCUGACACUUCCUGACCCAUGCCAUGGCUAUGUCAGUCGACGUAGUGACAUGUCCUGGCACGUGCCAUUUCCACGCCCUGCCAUGUCCUGGCGCUACUCGCACGAUGCUCUGCCGUUCGUUGUCAAAAUCCAUCAGCUUUUACGAGCGGUACUAGACAAAACCUAUUACAGCCGAUGGUAAUCGAUAACUUACUGAGCUUCGCCCCAUGCGCAUGACACCUUGCGACGCUACUUGCAUGAUGUUUUGCUAUUCCGUUGCCAAAAGCUAUCGACUUCCACGAGCGAUAUCGCCUCCCGAUGUUGCUCGCAACAAGCGAUGCACGUCCCGACACGUCCUGACCCAUGACAUGGCCGUGUCCUACGACGUCCUGACACUUCCUAACCCGUGCCAUGGCAUGUCAUGCGACGUCGUAACACGUCCUGACACGUGCCAUUGCCACGUCUUGCCAUGUCCUAGCGCUACUUGCACGAUGCUCUGCAGUUCGUUGUCAAAAGCCAUCAGCUACCACGAGCGGUACCAGACAUAACCCAUAACAACCGAUGGCAAUCAGACGCUUAAUGGGCGUUUUGACAUAAGAAUUAUAAAUUUCUGAAAAACGUGUUUUUUUUAAAAGCGAUAAUGACAUUAGAAAAGUAGAGUUGUUUAUGAACAUGGAUAUAAUUUGAAGUUGUUUUUGAAUUAUUUUGAGUGAUUUGAAGUGAAAAAUAAUACUUUAUAAUUUUUCAAAUUUCUAAUAAAUCCAAAAUUCAACUUUAAGAGAAAUUUAAAAUUUUUAUGGACAAAUAAUAAUUCAAAAAAAAAGUAAAAGAAUUUCGAAACACGGAAAAUUUUUGAAGUUAAGUUAAAAAUAAUAUUUGAAAUUAUGUUUGAACAUACAUUUCACAUGAAAAAAUAUUUUUAUUUUGUGAGUGAAAAAAAAAUCGAUUUUUUUUGGAAAAGUAGCCUAUUGAAAAACUUAUGGACUAAUAUAUUUAUGUAAAAAUUCCCGAAUAAAGGGGAAAAAGGAAAUAUGGACAAAUUGAUCCGUAAUAGCAUAAAAAUGAAGCAAAUACCAUUAUUACCAAGUUUAUUGCUCUUUGCCAAGUCCUCGCCAUGAGAUCCUGUAUGAACUUCCUUGAUUUGAUUCCAGCACGUAGUUACAUUAAAUUUUUUACUUCUCCUUUAGAUUAAGUCCCUUUUUACUCCCUCCGUAUUUGUUUGACACAUCAAAACUACUCAACGAAUCAAUUUUUACAAUAAAAUUGAACUAGAAAAUUUUAUUUUCUUAAAAUCAAAAUUGAAAUCUGAGAGUUACAUUAUUUUUCCACGUGUCAGUAAUAUGGCCAGUAUACGUAAAAAGCUAGCAAGGGUUAACUGGGCCUGUUGGAGCUCCAUUGGCUAAGUAUGAAGAGUAGUGACAAUAAUAUUUGCUGUCAACUUCUAACUGCAGCUGACUUAAGCAUAAUACAUUUUCCCACGUGUCAGUAAUAUGGCCAGUAUACGUAAAAAGCUAGCAAGGGUUAACUGGGCCUGUUGGAGCUCCAUUGGCUAAGUAUGAAGAGUAGUGACAAUAAUAUUUGCUGUCAACUUCUAACCGCAGCUGACUUAAGCAUAAUACGAUAUAAUACGAUAGUUGAGGGACAAAUUUAAAAUUUUUCUUUUUGUUUUCUAAUAGAAAUGUGCAGCUGACUUAAGCAUAAAACGAUAGUCGAGGGACAUUUAGAAUUUUUCUUUUUGCUUUUUAAUAGAAAUGAAGCAAAGAUACGUAGGCAUGAUAUAGUUUAUCUUCAAGAAAACAGUUUUUUAUAAAUUUGUGAGUUGAAAAUUUUAUUUUGUGUUCACACAAUUAAUGUUAAUUGUGUGCAAUCUCUUUUUUGUCUCAUAAUUGUAUAAGAUAUAAAUUCACAAAUAUGUAAGAUAAAAAGAGGCAUCACACAACUAAUGUUAGUUGUGUGAGGCACGCCAUAAAAUCACUUAAGGAAGGAUUGAAUUAGAAGCACAUAUGAAAGAUGUAGGUUUAGACCAGUGUGUAAAAAUUCCGUACUAUCUUAACUUGCAAAAUUAAACUUGCUUCGAAUCAAUAUUAAAUGGUAGAUAAAUUUAAUAGUCAAGUUAAAAUAUUUGUAAUCGAUGUAAGCCAAGAAAAACCUAGAACAACCAAGUUCAAAUGACGCUCUAGACUGAAUUGUCCAAAUAUGUAUUAUUAACUUUGUGUAGAAAAGUCAAAAUAACGAAUACUGAUCGAACCUAUGGAAAUCAGAUUUCGAGAUCUACAAUAUUAGUGCAGAGAGUAUAAACCAAAUUGCUGAUAGAGCUUAGUAGCCCCAUCGUUGGCGCUUCAAGGCUGGGGUGGAUCUAGCGUAGCGGUGCCGAGUUCAAUUAAAUGCAUUACUUUUGAGGUGGAACAUAUAUUUAUACGUAAAAUAUAUCUAAAAUUGGAACAAAUAGUAGAUAUAAAUCUAUAACUUUAACAAUAUAAUUAGUUUAAUACUAAAAAUUUUAGAGGUUAAAACCCAUAAAGUUGAAAUUCUGAAUCCGCCGCUGUCCAGGGUACCACAUAUAUGAAGUAUAAAUCCAGCUAUUCGAAAGUAAUUGUCUCUACACCAUCCAAAUUAAACUAUCCAGGAUCGUAUCAUUUCUAGUCCAUUCAUUACGUGAUCGUACGUGCAGAACACGAAACUCAAACAACUAAGCGCAAUAGAAAAAAGGAAAAAAAAUAUAUCAAACAAAAUAUAUGAAGAUAGUAUAUAUUUAUACAUUAAUUGCAAUCCUGCCUGAAUAUUAUGAUAUAUUAAAUAAAUCAAAGGGACUUGAUCACUUUUCCCAAAAUACACGUAAAGCAUGAAUCCUCAUACUGGUAAGAAAAAACAGGGAGGUUUACUGUGGAGACUGAGCAACCGAUAAAGCAACAGACAUAAAUUUAACGUACUCGUCAACAACUUCAUUUAGGGAUAAAAACUUUAUCCCAAAUUGUUCUAAUGCAUCAGAACAAUCCAUAUGUAAAGCACCUAAAUAUGAGAUCAUCGAUCCCGAAUUGUUUUUAAUGAGUGAUUUCAUAGCUUCUUCGAGAUCGCUUACUGCACUAUCCAUUGACUCUUUACAAGUACUCAGAAUUGAAUCUUUUGUUUGUGGUUCAACACCUGUGAUUUUUGGAAGAAAAUCGUUGGUCGCAUUUUGGAUCCUAUAUGCCAUUUCUGUACAUGCAUUUAUACUUUUGACCAUUGCUUCAUUCCAAUUUGUUGCUCCGUUUACAACCCUAUUGCACAAAUUUGGUAUAGUGCACGUCUUGCAAUAUGGGCUCAUUGGAAUUACUUGAGCCUCACUGCUCUUUAUGAGGACAUAAAACGUAGCCACGAUUAAUAAUAAACAAUAAUUCAUCUUUCUUGAAUUCAUAGUUUUCAUCUUUUAUCCCUAAUUAUAUAGGCUCAGAGAAUUGUUCUGUUCCCCUCCUUUUUUUCUCGGGGCCUAUUGGAAUUGGGAUGUAAACAGAAGAAAUAAUUUUAAGG